GCAAUUUUUAUUUUUGUUUCAUAGGGUGCUGUUAAAAUUUCCGAAGCCCUUAUUCAACCGAACCAGAAACCGACCUUGGAAACACAACUUGACGUUGUUGCCAAUGUUGAGCGAAUUUUCUUCGACAGAAUACCGGAACUAUCAAAUAAUGACACCUUCACAUAUGCAUCAAUAAAUAUUGCCCUGAAUAUGCAUCCACUAAAAUCCAGGAGCGACCCUUGGUUUCAUUUCUAUAAGGAAAGCGGCAAGCUAACCAGUAAAAGUACGGACUCAAAUUCCUUCGAAGGCGAAGCAUCCGUUCAAUUGAAGUCGAAUGGACUUAGCGACGAAGGUUCUGUGAAUUUGUUAGUGUCGUAUUUUGAACGAUCUGUAUUUGAGUCAAGCAGCUCUAACAACAAAAAUGAUUACUUUCAGUUACAAAGUGGCGACCAGACUACAUAUAAAUUGCAGAGUGGAUUGUUAGCGUGCAAACUAAUGAAAAAUUACACCAGCUAUUCAACGGCCAUUGAUUUUGUUAUGGCUGUGAAGGUAGAGGUAUG